rnacentral:ncRNA from 1 species
CGCAAGCAUGCGAGGAAUCAACCGAGGUCGUGCGUGAGCACGUCAGCCCCAUGCGGGUCGGAAGUCUCGGUCCUGGGCUUGCAAUUUU